GGGCUCACCAAGGGCUGCCAGUUCACAGAAGUCCCUCACCUUUGUUCCACACCUGCUGACUUUCUAAACUUCUGUCCUCUGGACUGUGCUAGGUACACGUUACAGCAACUUGACAGCCAUGACUUUCGGAGCCCCAUUAUGUGAUGCCAUGGCCCUAGAAGCAGAAGGAACCAUCAAAGAACCAGGCUAAAGGACUUUGGGACCAACAGGCCUUUGGGAAUGCGCCUGGCCAGGAGCUAAGGGGACACCAGCUGACAAAAGUUGCCACCAGACACGCCAGGUAGAAGGUGUCAGCUGGCAAUGGCCAUGCCGACCUAAGCUACCUCUGUGGAGUGAACAACGUAACCCAUAAGAGCCAGCACAGAUCCCUCCCACCUGUCAGCCCUGUCUUCCCCCAUCUUGACGCAUGUCCCAGGAAAGCAUUCCUGAUUCUGCUCACUUAGGACACAGUUCUCUCCCCUGUUUGUGAUCUCAGGACCUGAAACCUGUCUGCUCAAGCCAGGUUCCAUAGAGGAGCAGAACUUCAUCCUACUCUGCAUUCAGGGCCUGCCUUGGUGACAGUAGGGGAGCUCCCAAGAACUCACAAGUUUGGAAAUUAAUAUUUCUCUUUGCAAGAUAAAAUACAGAUCAGCCCAAAGUACAUCAGACCUGAGGUCCAAUUCCAAACAGAAAGUCAGCCCUGAGAAUCCCUGGGUUAAAGGUUCAAGUGUUUGAAACUGAAUUUCACGCUUGACUAGGGAGCCCUUUCUAAGCUGGUACAACACGCAUAGGGAGCCCUUUCUAAGCUGGUACAACACCAGAGGCCAACGGAAAAGAGUAAUAAAUCUGGCUAUACACUUUGUAUAGUGUGCAAUGUGCACAAACACACACACCAGACACACACACCACAAAGACCAAAAAGGAAAGGGAACACACAAUAAGUCAUUUAGAACAUAUUUGGUAAAGGGCUAAAUUCCCUUUUAUGGAAACAGCUCUUUAAAAGCCAACAGAAAAAGACAAUUUCCUCAAUCAUCUUGGCUCAAAAUGAGCCAGGAAUUCAAGCAGACAAUCUACCCAAAAGGAAUCCAUUUCCCCUCUUGGCCACACAUCAGUUGUCUGAAAACAGUUGGCCUGUGGUGAUGCCUCACUCCAACUGCCACUCUGAUCCACACAUCUUGUGUCCAAAGCAGAACACAAGUGUCCAUGGGAGGUUGCACAACACAGAGCCGAGAGAUGCCUGUGUCCUCUACUGAGUAUUCCACAGGGGAAGGGGCCUGGUAAAAGGAAAAGGAUGGAGGCAGUGUUUGUUGAGCGCUGUGGUGGGUGUGAACCCACAAGCCCACAGGGGAACCAGAACUCUCAUGGGCUCCUUCAGGGCUGGGGUGGGGCCUCUUAGAGGUCCCAGGUCCUGUGCAUGGGCCCCCAUGGCAUAGGGAGGGGAAGCAGCCCUCCUCUCCUCUUGGCAUAGCUCCUCCUCCCUGUCAAUGUUCACAUCACCAAACACAUUCUGUCUAAGGUGGGGUCAUCAGGACUGCAGGCACUGGUUGCUGCAGGAACUACUGCCUCAUAGAAAGCAUUUUACUUUGCUCAUGACUCAGGAUAAUCAGGAUUUUAGGAAGGACCCAGCUAGGAAGGUCCCAGGAGGUGCAGGCCGGGAGUGGCUGGGACCACCAUCAUCUACACCACGACUGGGCUCCCUGAUAAUGAGGAGGGGGUUUUAUAAUGGAUUUAUUCAGAGGUAAUUCACACACUGUAGGAUUCACCCAUUUAAGCAUACAAGUCAAUGACUUUAGUAUAUUCAUAGAAUUUUAUAUCCAAACCACAAUCAAUUUUACAGCAUUUUUGUUACCCUAAAAAGAAACCUCAAACUUUUUAGCCUUUAUAUGCCAAUUUCUCCAUCCCCUUUCCGCCCUAGGGAGGAGCCACUAACGUGCUUUCUCCACAGAUGUCCCUCUUCUGGGCAUUGCACGUAAACAGAAUCGCUGUGUGUGAUCUCCUGUGUCUGGUUCCUCUCACUUAGCGUGUUUCCAAGGUUCCUCCAGGCUGUAGCCUGUAUCACUACUUCAUUUAUUUUUAUUACAAAUAAUAACCUGUUGUAUGCACACACCAUAUUUUAUUUAUCCACUCAUUAAUUAAUGAGAAGUAGGGUUAUUUUGGCUACUGUUUUGGCUUUUUGGCUGUUUUUAAUAAAUACUGUUACGAUCA
rnacentral:lncRNA from 1 species